rnacentral:rRNA from 1 species
CCACACCUAAAAAACUUUCCACGUGAACUGUCGUUAUUUGUUGUGUGUCUGCGCGUUGCUGGCGUGCGUUUGCUUACGCUUCGGUGUUUGCGAGUGCGUGCUGGCGGUGYGCGGACUGAACGAAGGUCGUGUUGCUGUGUGCCUGCUGCACUGCUGACUUUGCAUUGAUUUGCAUGGUCUUGGCGGAGCGGCGGGUGCUGUGCGUGCGCGGCUGACUUACUUUUUCAAACCCCAUACCUAACUUACUGAUUAUACUGUGAGAACGAAAGUUCUUGCUUUUAACUAGAUAACAACUUUCAGCAGUGGAUGUCUAGGCUCGCACAUCGAUGAAGAACGCUGCGAACUGCGAUACGUAAUGCGAAUUGCAGAAUUCAGUGAGUCAUCGAAAUUUUGAACGCAUAUUGCACUUCCGGGUUAUGCCUGGAAGUAUGUCUGUAUCAGUGUCCGUAAAUCAAACUUGCCUUUCUUCCUUCCGUGUAGUCGGUGGAGGAGAGUUGCAGAUGUGAAGUGUCUCGCUGUGGUUGGUAUAUUUGUUUAUGCACAACUUGCGAGUCCUUUUAAAUGGACACGACUUUCUCUUUUUUGUAUCUGCGCGGUGCUGUGCGUGAACGCGGUGGUUUUCGGAUCGCUCGCGGCUGUCGGCGACUUCGGUGAAUGCAUUAUGGAGUGGACCUCGAUUCGCGGUAUGUUGGGCUUCGGCUGGACAAUGUUGCUUAUUUGGGUGUCUGUUCCGCGUUCGCCUUGAGGUGUACUGGUGGCUGUGGGAUUGAACUGGUUACUGUUGUUAGUAGUUGGGCGACUCGUUGUCGUGGGUGCAUCUGUGUUUUUUG